AUUGAACGCUGGCGGCAGGCCUAACACAUGCAAGUCGAGCGGAUGAAGGGAGCUUGCUCCUGGAUUCAGCGGCGGACGGGUGAGUAAUGCCUAGGAAUCUGCCUGGUAGUGGGGGAUAACGUCCGGAAACGGGCGCUAAUACCGCAUACGUCCUGCGGGAGAAAGUGGGGGAUCUUCGGACCUCACGCUAUCAGAUGAGCCUAGGUCGGAUUAGCUAGUUGGUGGGGUAAAGGCCUACCAAGGCGACGAUCCGUAACUGGUCUGGGAGGAUGAUCGGUCUCACUGGAACUGAGACACGGUCGAGACUCCUACGGGAGGCAGAAGUGGGGAGUAUUGAACAAUGGGCGAAAGCCUGAUCCAGCCAUGCCGCGGGUGUGAAGAAGGUCUUCGGAUUGUAAAGCACUUUAAGUUGGGAGGAAGGGCAGUAAGUUAAUACCUUGCUGUUUUGACGUUACCAACAGAAUAAGCACCGGCUAACUUC
rnacentral:rRNA from 1 species